rnacentral:rRNA from 1 species
GACGAACGCUGGCGGCGUGCCUAAUACAUGCAAGUAGAACGCUGAAGAGAGGAGCUUGCUCUUCUUGGAUGAGUUGCGAACGGGUGAGUAACGCGUAGGUAACCUGCCUGGUAGCGGGGGAUAACUAUUGGAAACGAUAGCUAAUACCGCAUAAAAUGGAUUAUCGCAUGAUAAUCCAUUGAAAGGUGCAAAUGCAUCACUACCAGAUGGACCUGCGUUGUAUUAGCUAGUUGGUGGGGUAACGGCUCACCAAGGCGACGAUACAUAGCCGACCUGAGAGGGUGAUCGGCCACACUGGGACUGAGACACGGCCCAGACUCCUACGGGAGGCAGCAGUAGGGAAUCUUCGGCAAUGGACGGAAGUCUGACCGAGCAACGCCGCGUGAGUGAAGAAGGUUUUCGGAUCGUAAAGCUCUGUUGUAAGAGAAGAACGAGUGUGAGAGUGGAAAGUUCACACUGUGACGGUAUCUUACCAGAAAGGGACGGCUAACUACGUG